rnacentral:rRNA from 1 species
GUCUACGGCCACACCACCCUGAAUGUGCCUGAUCUCGGGAGCUAAGCAGGGUGAGGCCUGGUUAGCACUUGGAUGGAAGACAGAUCUUCAGAAGAAACUGCUCAGAGACGAGCAGUUUGGAGACA